AUUCUUUAUGGCCUUGCUGUGAUUUGCUCCUUCUACCGGAUCCCUAUGGGUCACUGAGUAGGUGCUGGGCCACUCAAGGGGCUGUGGGAAGACUGAUGAGAGGCAUUGCUCAGCCUCUCAGAGCAAAGUGGAGCUACAGGCAUGGCCAUAGGCAAGCAUGCUGUCCCCAGCCACUAAGGGACAGAGCAGCAAGCCUCAGACAGACCUGAGAAGAGGGGGCAUGAUGGGCUGAAUCGUGACCCCCAAAAGAUGUUGAAGCCCUAAUCUCCAGUACCUGUGAAUAAGAUCUUGUUUGGAAAUAGUCUUUGCAAAUGAUCAAUUUAAGAUAAGACCAUUAGGGUGGGAUCUAAUCCAAUAUUACCACUAUCCUUACAAAAAGAGGAAAUUUGGACACAGAGCCAGACACAUGGAGGGAAGAUGAUUUCAAGACAUAGGAAGAAGAUGACCACCUUCAAGCCAAGGAAUGCCCAAGGCUACCAGAAGCCAGAAAAGAGGCCAGGAACAGAUUCUUCUUCAUUGCUGUCAGAAGGAACCAACCCUGCUAGCACCUUGAUCUUGGACUUCCAGCCUCAGAAAAGAGGCCAGGAACAGAUUCUUCUUCAUUGCUGUCAGAAGGAACCAACCCUGCUAGCACCUUGAUCUUGGACUUCCAGCCUCAGAAAAGAGGCCAGGAACAGAUUCUUCUUCAUUGCUGUCAGAAGGAACCAACCCUGCUAGCACCUUGAUCUUGGACUUCCAGCCUCAGAACUGUGUGACAAUGAAUGUCCAUUAUCUGAGACACUCUCUCAGUGUCCUUUGUCACAGCAACCCCAGGGAACUCAUACAGGAGGCAAGUGGCUUCCCCCACCAUAGCUCUGUGGUCUCCUGGGUGGGACCUGCUGUGUUGCUCUCAGAGGCUGCUUAAAAACAGCUGGCCCUGGGCCACUCUGCUGGGGCUCCUGCUUGAAGGAAGGACAGAACUUCAGGGAAUUUCCUGGAAUGUUUGCUAAAAUGAAGACUCCCAGAGGCCUCCACAGAUCUACAGAAUAAGAAUCUCUCAUGAUGGGACUCAGAAAUCUCCAAUCAAUCAUCCACCCUCCUCCUCCCUACCCCAGGAUACUGAUGCAGACAGCCUGGCCACCCCUUUUGGAGAAACACGAUUGCAGAUGACUGAUUAAAUUGUAUGGCUUUACCUCUCUUAUAUAUGCAUUUUGGGAAGCAAUACAAUUUCUGCAGGUUAAAGCCAAAGGAAUGAUGAUCUAGCUGUGAAAUGUUAGACUUCGUUGAGUUGGGUGGUGGAGACACCUCCUCAACUAGCUCUUCAGCCUAGGCUGGGCUCGUUCCUCCAGUAAAUGGCCAACAAGGAACAACAGGUGCCCAAACUGUAUGAAAUUUAAGGAAGGAAAUUUUACAGUGAAAAAUUGAGACCCAUCGAUUUUGUUUUUCUGUACAUUGAUAAAUUUAUAUCUAGUGAAAGGACAUCUCAUACCUAUUCCAGACUUGGAAAGGAGGUUAGUUUUGCUUGAGUAAACCUACUUCUUCAAGACUUGAAAUUUUGUCCAAGGAGUCCCUAAAUGGAUGUUGUUCUUCUGCGUGUGGGUGUGUGUGCAUGUGGGGUUGUAUAUAAAAAAUUGCCAUCAAGUUUUUUCCAGUGACAUAGAAUAUUUUAAGGUUGCUAUUUCAAGUUGGGCAAAGAAAUUCUUACGCAUGUGGUAAGCAGAUAUGUUUAAAUGGUAUGAAAUUAAAAUUUUAAAGAGGAC
rnacentral:lncRNA from 1 species